rnacentral:tRNA from 2 species
GCGGGCGUGGUGUAAAGGCUGCAUGCGACCCUUCCAAGGUCACGGUACGAGUUCGAUUCUCGUCGCCCGCU